CCCAAUAUCGUUCAAUCCUGUUCUUACAGAUUAGAGACGUUCUUAGAAGGGGUUCAUAACUGACGUGUCUCUUUCUCAUUCGUUCAACAAGAAUUUUUUUUUACGCUCUCUCUCCUCUUCGACUUUCUCUGAUUCUUCGUUUGUGUCCAUGUUUAUUUCUCGUCUUCCAGCCAAGAUUCUUUCUCUGGUGAUUUCAGAUCAUGGGCUAAAAAAAUGGAAGCUUUGCAUGAACCCACUUGGAGAAGAGCUGGGAUUUUCAUUCGAAUUAAAGCAUCACUCUUUCCUCGAUCAUCGUUGCGAAUGGAACCGACGGUAGUGCUGGAGGCUCAAUUCGGAGAGGAAUUCGAUCACGUCGAUGACCCAAGGCCUUCCGGAGAUAUCUCGUUAGUGAAUGUGGAGAAGAAGGAGCUGCUCGAUGAGGAGAAGGAAGAAAACAGCGAUUCUGGUUCGAAGAAAUAACAGAGGAAACAAAAUAAGAAUGAAAAAAAAGCACCUGUUCAAAGAAAUCAGAGGAUUUAGAUGGUGAGCUUCAACGGCCAUCGACGUUUUUUACUCUGCUUUUUUUUUUAACUUGUGAAACUGGUUCGAAGGUAUUUAAUGGGCGAUUCAGAGAGGAACCUCCAAAAAGGUGAAUGCAAUGAAAGACGGGAAGAAAAGAAGUAAUGGGAGGUUGUGGGGUUUUUAAUUUUGUAUGAACCUCACCACUGUAGGAACAAAAUUAUGUAAGGUUCUAAUUUUUAAGAUAAAAUUGGAAAUUUAAAACACAAAUAGAAGUACUUGUCC
rnacentral:lncRNA from 1 species